rfam:Enterococcus dispar ATCC 51266 genomic scaffold acpMG-supercont1.1, whole genome shotgun sequence.
AAAUGAAAGCAGAAGCACCCGCUUCUCGCCUUAGUGAAGAUAUUGCUGGGCAGAAUAGUUAGAUCGCUUGUUUACAAGCUGAUUUUGCGCGCGGGUUCGAAUUCGAACUCGUUUUUUUAUUGCUUU